AGCGAACGCUGGCGGCAGGCUUAACACAUGCAAGUCGAGCGGGCACUUUCGGGUGUCAGCGGCGGACGGGUGAGUAACGCGUGGGAACGUGCCCUCUGGUUCGGAAUAACUCAGGGAAACUUGAGCUAAUACCGGAUACGCCCUUUUGGGGAAAGGCUUGCUGCCGGAGGAUCGGCCCGCGUCUGAUUAGCUAGUUGGUGAGGUAACGGCUCACCAAGGCGACGAUCAGUAGCUGGUCUGAGAGGAUGAUCAGCCACACUGGGACUGAGACACGGCCCAGACCCCUAGGGGGGGCGGGAGGGGGGAAUAUUGGAAAGUGGGCGAAAGCCGGACCCAGCCAUGCCGGGUGAGUGAUGAAGGCCUUGGGGUUGAAAAGCUCUUUUACCCGGGACGAUAAUGACGGUACCGGAGAAAUAAGCCCCGGCUAACUUCGU
rnacentral:rRNA from 1 species